rnacentral:tRNA from 1 species
GCUCCUAUCGUUUAAAGGCUUAGGACAAUGCCUUUUCGUGGCAUUAAUGUGGGUUCGAAUCCCACUAGGAGUA